rnacentral:rRNA from 1 species
GAUGAACGCUGGCGGCGUGCCUAAUACAUGCAAGUCGAGCGAAUGGAUUGAGAGCUUGCUCUUAUGAAGUUAGCGGCGGACGGGUGAGUAACACGUGGGUAACUUGCCCAUAAGACUGGGAUAACUCCGGGAAACCGGGGCUAAUACCGGAUAACAUUUUGAACCGCAUGGGUCGAAAUUGAAAGGCGGCUUCGGCUGUCACUUAUGGAUGGACCCGAGUCGCACUAGCUAGUUGGUGAGGUAACGGCUCACCAAGGCAACGAUGCGUAGCCGACCUGAGAGGGUGAUCGGCCACACUGGGACUGGGACACGGCCCAGACUCCUACGGGAGGCAGCAGUAGGGAAUCUUCCGCAAUGGACGAAAGUCUGACGGAGCAACGCCGCGUGAGUGAUGAAGGCUUUCGGGUCGUAAAACUCUGUUGUUAGGGAAGAACAAGUGCUAGUUGAAUAAGCUGGCACCUUGACGGUACCUAACCAGAAAGCCACGGCUAACUACGUGCCAGCCGCCGCGGUAA